CCGGUGGUUAAGCCGGAGGAAGUGGGGAUGACGUCAAGUCCUCAUGGCCUUAUGCCCAGGGCUACACACGUGCUACAAUGGGCGGUACAAAGAGAAGCAACCUCGCGAGGGUGAGCAAAUCUCAAAAAGCCGUUCUCAGUUCGGAUUGAAGUCUGCAACUCGACUUCAUGAAGUCGGAAUCGCUAGUAAUCGCGGAUCAGCAUGCCGCGGUGAAUACGUUCCCGGGCCUU
rnacentral:rRNA from 1 species